GAAAACUCGUGUUGGGAUAAUUGCUUAAUGAAUCACACUGGUUUUGAUUUACCUUACAAUAUAUAAACCAUUGUAUAAAAUAACAAAAACAACUAAGCAAGCUGAAAAUCUUACUAGAAAAUUUUGUAGACGAUACACAACACUAAAGAGAGAUAUUUGUACAACUUUAGGGUUGAAUCAACCAAAUCGUUUCUUGAAUAAUUGAUGUCUCUUGGUUGGAUCUUUAGGCUUGUUUUUGAUAAGCCCCUUCUUUCCAGAGUUGUACUCCAUAUAAACCAUCCCUUUAGCUCCUGACAUGGCACUCAUAGAACCCACAUAGCGACGGGCUUUUUGAAGAGCUACGUCAUCUGCAUCUUCAUCUAGUUGCUCCAAACCUACUGCAUCAUCGCCAGCACUCAGUACCUUUCCAAGAAGUUGAAGCUGUUCAUCAAGACGAUGGUAAGACAACUCGGACCCAGAAUCAGAAGGUGGUAAACUUGUGAUCACCUUAAAGCUAUAACCUUGAUCGAUCAAGAACUGCUGUCUUUUGGUUGAGUAAUACAUUUCCUGGGUAUCUGUUGACACGAGAGAGUAAAAGAAUGCAUUAUACUCCUCUUUACCUCCUGCCAUCCUAUCUUGAUGCUUUCCCUUGGCCCUGAGAAUACGCCCUAGACGCUGAGCUUCCUGCCUUCUUGAACCAGCGUGUGACGAAAUUUGUAUGAUAACAUUCGCCUCAGGAAUAUCGAUGGAGUUAUCACCCACCUUGGAAAGGAAUAUGGUGUUAACUUCCUUGCUAGUUUUAAAUGCCUCAAGAAUUUUUGUUCUUUCAACAUGGCUGGUAGCACCAUAGAUCAUAGGUUUCCGAAGCUUCAUUGCAUACUCGGUAAGUGCAAAAAGAUUGUCGGCGAAGACAAUGAUCUUGUCCCCACGCUGCUGUUCAUGAAAGCGGAUAAGGAACUCACAAGCCCUGAACUUGUUUGGGUUCAUCACAUAAAGUGCUUGUCGCUUCUUUGAAUUCUCUUUUUUCAAAUAUUCAGCAAAGAAUUCCUUCGUCAUAGGACACCACACCUCAGCACAUUGUACAUUUGCAAUAAAUCCCCCUUUAACUAAAUCCAACCAAUUUGCCUCAUACA
rnacentral:misc_RNA from 1 species